CUGCAGGCGAUGACGACUCGAGCUCCUCUUAACGCCAAAGCAACAGCGGUCUCCUUACCAAUGCCGGAACUUCCACCUAUAAAACGAACAACGAACGGCAGAACAUUUGUCAAGAACUUGUCAGGUUCCAUCUGUUUAUGGGAAACGUGUGUCCUCCCUUCACCGUCCUACUUGUUCUUCUUCUGUCGCGGGAUCAGAUGUGGCGAAGACUAACAGAUGGUUUGAUGUUGGACAACCACGUGCUGAGUGAAUAUACGUGAGCCAAACAUAAGGCGUCUGUGUAGAACAGCUGAGGCCACAUGGCCUUCAUUGGAGGAUAUAUGAAAGAGAAGAACUCUGAUAUUAUCGAGGCAUCCAGAAGGAGGCAGCCUUCAGGCUGUAAAGAAACCAAAACAUCCUUCUUUUAACUGCAUAAAUGGAGACAGAUCUGGAGGAAGAGAUGGUUUUUAUACAGUAUUUUGCUGUUUUUAAAUCAGAUCUCUCUUUUAACUGAAAAAAGGAAUAGCGUUGUGAACACAAAUGAUGACCUCAACUGACAAAAUGUGUUUUUUAAUUGGUGGAAUGUGAGUUUGCUCUAUAUCAGUGGUGUCAAACUCAAAUUCACAGUGGGUCAAAAUUAAAAGCUGUGACUAAGUCGUGGGCCAAUGGCGGUUGUGCCCGUUUUCCCUCUCUCCAGAUAUGUAAUGUUGUAUUUUUUCAUAUGGAAACAAACUUUUGUUUUGUAUAAAAAUUGAAUCUGAAAGAAAUUACUUUUAA